CCGGCCUCAAGUCGAGCGACAGUACCCGCCGAAUUUAAGCAUAUUAAUAAGCGGAGGAAAAGAAACCAACAGGGAUUCCCUUAGUAGCGGCGAGCGAAGCGGGAGGAGCCCAAGCUCUGAAUCUGGGCGCGCGCCAAGUCCGUGCCCCGAAUUGUGGUCUCAUGGCAAGGCAUCGCUGAGCGCGGUCGCUGGUCGGGCAAAAGUCCCUUGGAAAAGGGCGCCAGGGAGGGUGACAGCCCCGUCCAUUGGUCCGGCAUCGCGGCCGUCUCGAUUGCGCUGUUGCACUUGCCCCAGAGUCGGGUUGUUUGGGAAUGCAGCCCUAAGCGGGUGGUAAAUCCCACCCAAGGCUAAAUAUUGUCAGCGAGAGACCGAUAGCGAACAAGUACCGUGAGGGAAAGAUGAAAAGGACUUUGAAAAGAGAGUCAAAAGUGCUUGAAAUUGUUAGGAGGGAAGCGAUCGGCGCCGGCGGUUCGUCUUUAGUUCGGGGCUGUUCAGUGGUGCCUGCUUGUCGGGAGGGCCGCAGCGGCGGGGAGUGCUCACGUGCCUCCGCUCUGUGUUCGUUCUGGCGCAAACCAUGCAUUCAGUCCCGGCGACGAGCCAGCAUCGGCUUCAUGUUUAGUGCGUGUGGCUGACGGGCGCUGGGGAUCAAAGGGCCUGGCGGGCCGGCUUCACAGCCGUGUCCCACCGGUGCGACCCAGCGUACCUGCCAUCGCAGGGGCCGAGGAACCAAUUAACCCAUGCCCGCAAGGGCGAGGCAGUGUGUCAUCGUGGCGGGCAUGCGUGUGGGGAUCGGGAACCGAUGCCCGUGUGCAUGCCUGUCGCUCUGUGGCACGCGUCCAUCUCUGGUGGGUUAGUGAUGCUGGCGGAACGGCGCUGAUCGACCCGUCUUGAAACACGGACCAAGGAGUCUAACACGUGCGCGAGUGUCCGGGUGGCAAACCUGGGCGCGGAGUGAAAGCAGAGGGCGGCAUUAGUGGUCGCCUGAGGUGGGAAGGGGCAUGCGUACUCGCGCGUGCUCCUGCACCACCGGCCGACCUGGAUUUUCUUGAAGGGUUUGAGCCAGAGCGUAUUUGUUGGGACCCGAAAGAUUGUGAACUAUGGGUGACCAGGACGAAGCCAGAGGAAACUCUGGUGGAGGUCCGAAGUGAUACUGACGUGCAAAUCGUUCAUCUGAGUUGCCUAUAGGGGCGAAAGACUAAUCGAACAAUCUAGUAGCUGGUUCCCUCCGAAGUUUCCCUCAGGAUAGCUGGGACUCGUCUUUGUAUAGUUUUAUCAGGUAAAGCGAAUGAUUAGAGGUUUCGGGGUUGCAACAACUUCGCCCUAUUCUCAAACUUUAAAUGGGUAAGAUGUGCAGGCUGCUUAGGUGAGCCUGCACGCAUAUAACAAUAGAAUAUAGAGUCCUUAGUGGGCCAUUUUUGGUAAGCAGAACUGGCGAUGCGGGAUGAACCGAACGUGUGGGUUAAGGUGCCAAAGUGCGCGCUCAUGUAGACACCAUAAAGGGUGUCGGUUCAUUCAGACAGCAGGACGGUGGUCAUGGAAGUCGAAAUCCGCUAAGGAGUGUGUAACAACUCACCUGCCGAAUGGACCGGCCCCGAAAAUGGAUGGCGCUCAAGCGCGACCACCUAUACCCAACCGUCAGCGCGAACAAUAUUAUUACAGGAUCGUCUGACGAGUAGGAGGGCGUGGGGUCCGUAGCGAAGCCUACCGCCCGUGAGGGCAGGUCGAACGGACCCUAGUGCAGAUCUUGGUGGUAGUAGCAAAUAUUCAAAUGAGUCACACAACUUUGAAGGCCGAAGUGGAGAAAGGUUCCAUGUGAACAGCAGUUGGACAUGGGUUAGCCGGUCCUAAGCGAUGGGGUAAGGCCCGUACAAGGGCGUGCGAUCGGAUGGCGUGCGCGUAAAAAACGCACGUCGUCCCCCUCCUCACGGAGGGCGUCGCACCGACCAGCGAAAGGGAACCAGGUUAAUAUUCCUGGGCCAGGACAGGGGUUGUGGCAAUGGCCCCGUUAAACGGGCCGUGCUGAGCGGCAACGCAAACGAGCCAGGAGACGGCGAUGGGGGUCCCAGGGAGGGUUCUCUUUCCUGCUUAACGGUCUCCCGUAAGGGAACAGCAAGCUGCUUGGCCGCGUCCUCACGGAUUCACCAGCUGGCGCAUGGUGAUGCACGGCGCAAGUCGUGUGUUGCUAUGUGUCGGCUGCCGCGGAAACACAGCACAAUGACCCUGGAAUCGGAUCGCCCGGAGAGAGGGUCAGAUGACCGGCAUAACGCCCCGGCUUCCGGGGCGUCUGGUGCACUCCCACCGUCCCUUGAAAACGUUCUACCUGGCAAGACACUAUUCAAAAUAUACUCUACACUACUCUACUACUUACUGGUGGUGUGUGUGUGUGUGUAUUUACGACGUGACCUCCUGCCUGUCCGUACUCAUAACCGCAUCAGGUCUCCAAGGUGAAAAGCCUCUGGCCAAUGGGAUAAAGUAGGUAAGGGAAGUCGGCAAAAUGGAU
rnacentral:rRNA from 1 species